rnacentral:rRNA from 1 species
CAAUAAGCGGAGGAAAAGAAACCAACCGGGAUUGCCUUAGUAACGGCGAGUGAAGCGGCAAAAGCUCAAAUUUGAAAUCUGGUACCUUCGGUGCCCGAGUUGUAAUUUGGAGAGGGCAACUUUGGGGCCGUUCCUUGUCUAUGUUCCUUGGAACAGGACGUCAUAGAGGGUGAGAAUCCCGUGUGGCGAGGAGUGCGGUUCUUUGUAAAGUGCCUUCGAAGAGUCGAGUUGUUUGGGAAUGCAGCUCUAAGUGGGUGGUAAAUUCCAUCUAAAGCUAAAUAUUGGCGAGAGACCGAUAGCGAACAAGUACAGUGAUGGAAAGAUGAAAAGAACUUUGAAAAGAGAGUGAAAAAGUACGUGAAAUUGUUGAAAGGGAAGGGCAUUUGAUCAGACAUGGUGUUUUGUGCCCUCUGCUCCUUGUGGGUAGGGGAAUCUCGCAUUUCACUGGGCCAGCAUCAGUUUUGGUGGCAGGAUAAAUCCAUAGGAAUGUAGCUUGCCUCGGUAAGUAUUAUAGCCUGUGGGAAUACUGCCAGCUGGGACUGAGGACUGCGA